AAGUGAUUCUAGUUAGGUGGGCCUUGGAUUUGAAUCAUAAGAUCCAGCCCACUGAUGAGUACCGAAACCUAAUUUGAGGGAUUGCCACACACUUCACUACCAAUAUAUAUUCCAACCUCAUCUUCAUUACUCAUUCGUUCAGGUCAUAUACUGGUUUUCGGUUGGUUUAGGGUCAUCGUCAUCCUUUCUUGCGCUUCUGUCAAUGAUUUUGUAUAAUUUUUUUAACCUCUACCUGUUUUGUGUGGUAUAAUAUUGUGCAGUGACUAUAGAAUUUGUGUACUAGAGUUUCUGAUCUGGGAUUUCGAGUUCCGAAUUUCUGUUUUCUUGUAAUGGCUCGGACGCCAAAUUGAUUGUGGUGAUCCUGAUUGAUGGCUUCUUCAAUGCCAUUUGGUCUUGGAAACGCCUCAUACAUUCUUCAUCAGUUGUCAUUUUAUCUUUUUAAAUUAAAAUAUUAUUGUUAAAUUGUUGAUUUGUUUAUCUGGAAUUUCUGUGUAUUUAACCACAAGCUCUUGGUCGAUUUUAGGUUACCGCCGAAUCUUCUCGAAGUAUAUUGAAGAAUAUUGUUGUGAAUGUAUAGAUAUUUAUCUGAACCGCAUCUAUACAUUUUAUUAUACAUUUGUAUGUGUUGAUGGAACAUUUAACCUUAAUGACACUAUAGAGUUGUUUAAUUAUUA